GGAAACUAAUCCAGCAGAGGACAGCGGUACCGGCGGGGAAGCUCCUCCUCAGCUGGACUGAAGGAGGAGAUCAGAAGUCUGAGGGAGCAGGAAGAGUUCUGCAGAUCCAACAGAACCUCAGAGCUGCUGCCGGGCCGAGCACCACAGGUUCCGGUCCAACCUGCCUCCACGGAUCAAUACAGGUGUGAGGAGAGAACCACGCGGGCCUUCCGGCGCCGUGAACCGAGCUCUGCACCGCCGGGACCGGACCGGGUCGCCCGACUGCUGCGGGCGACCAGAGAAAGCGCCAGAGCCGGGCCGUGGGACCACGCCGGAGCUUAAAGCUACAGAGGAAACCGGAUCAGAGAAGCUCAGAGCAAAGUGACGGAGGAGAGCCCAGCAGCCCCCCCACGG
rnacentral:lncRNA from 1 species